CCUACGGGAGGCAGCAGUGAGGAAUAUUGGUCAAUGGGCUUACGCCUGAACCAGCCAAGUCGCGUGAGGGAAGACUGCCCUAUGGGUUGUAAACCUCUUUUGUCAGGGAGCAACGCCGGCUACGUGUAGCCGGACUGAGAGUACCUGAAGAAAAAGCAUCGGCUAACUCCGUGCCAGCAGCCGCGGUAAUACGGAGGAUGCGAGCGUUAUCCGGAUUUAUUGGGUUUAAAGGGUGCGUAGGCGGAAUGCCAAGUCAGCGGUAAAAUCGCGGGGCUCAACCUCGCUCCGCCGUUGAAACUGGCGUUCUUGAGUGGGCGAGAAGUAUGCGGAAUGCGUGGUGUAGCGGUGAAAUGCAUAGAUAUCAGGAGGAACACCGGCGGCGAAGGCGGCCUGCUGGACUGAAACUGACGUUGAGGCUCGAAAGCGUGGGGAGCAAACAGGAUUAGAUACCCUGGUAGUC
rnacentral:rRNA from 1 species